CCGUCCACAGGGACACACCAAAACUCAUGUUCAUGAUAUCAGUGUUAUGGUCUGAUGAGACUGAAGUGAUUGUCUACAGGUCCUUCCAAGAUUUUAAGAAUUUACAUCGGCAGCUGAAAAAGAAGUUCCCUCUCAUGAACCCUUUCAGGAGAAAAGACAGAGUGAUCCCCAAAUUUA